GGACUUAAGACUUCUUAAUGCGGCGAAUUUCGAAUCCGGGCCUCGAGUUGCCGGGGCGAACUGGAUUCUUCUCUUGCAAAUGGAUUGGAUACUCGUCAGCUCGUGACGGGGAUUCACUGGACUUAGUACAAUAAUGUGUCGGUGUUAUGAGCACUCCUUCGCCGAGGCGAUUGAAGACGCUCCUCUGCUCGGUGUCCGUUCUUUGA
rnacentral:lncRNA from 1 species